rnacentral:rRNA from 1 species
GACGAACGCUGGCGGCGUGCUUAACACAUGCAAGUCGAACGGUAAGGCCCUUCGGGGUACACGAGUGGCGGACGGGUGAGUAACACGUGGGUGAUCUGCCCUGCACUUCGGGAUAAGCCAGGGAAACUGGGUCUAAUACCGGAUAGGACCACUGCCUGCAUGGGUGGUGGUGGAAAGCUUUUGCGGUGUGGGAUGGGCCCGCGGCCUAUCAGCUUGGUGGUGGGGUGAUGGCCUACCAAGGCGACGACGGGUAGCCGGCCUGAGAGGGUGACCGGCCACACUGGGAUUGAGAUACGGCCCAGACUCCUACGGGAGGCAGCAGUGGGGAAUACUGCACAAUGGGCGCAAGCCUGAUGCAGCGACGCCGCGUGAGGGAUGACGGCCUUCGGGUUGUAAACCUCUUUCAGCACCGACGAAGCGCAAGUGACGGUAGGUGCAGAAGAAGGACCGGCCAACUACGUGCCAGCCGCCGCUGUAA